UACGUAGGGUCCCAGCGUUGUCCGGAAUUACUGGGCGUAAAGAGCUCGUAGGUGGUUUGUCGCGUUGUUCGUGAAAACUCACAGCUUAACUGUGGGCGUGCGGGCGAUACGGGCAGACUUGAGUACUGCAGGGGGAGACUGGAAUUCCUGGUGUAGCGGUGGAAUACGCAGAUAUCAGGAGGAACACCGGUGGCGAAGGCGGGUCUCUGGGCAGUAACUGACGCUGAGGAGCGAAAGCGUGGGGAGCGAACAGG
rnacentral:rRNA from 1 species